UGCACUAAAUAUCUGUUUAAUAUGUCUAAAAGAUUAUUAAUUUAAAACGAACUGUAAAACAUUGUGGCAGCCGCAGCAUGAAAUAGACUUACAAUACAGGUAAAUGUUUUAUGUUCUAUAUUAGCGUUCAUAAAACAGGACUACAGUUCUCUGCAAUCUCAAUGUUUUGACGGUAGAUUUGAGCCUGCCCACUCGCCAAAGCCGUGCUGCCGGGUUACAGCGUCACUACAGCGGACGCCGCAAUGCAGAGGGGCCGCAGGAAGAAGCACUUGUUGCGACAAGUUGUUAGGUCAAGUCUAGAAGUCAUUUUCAAACAGAGGCAUCAGAGAGAAUUGAAGCCUGCAAUCAAGCUAUUAAGCAGACAGCAGAAAAAACGUGUUAUCAGUUUAGACGUGUUGUGUUCAUGUUGCCAUGAUACAGUUUGGGAAGGACCUUAAUACUAAAAUACUGCUCUUCAGUUUCUGACCAUGAGCAUCUUCAAUGUGGCAAGACAUGGAAUCCAGAGAGAAAUGCUGACCAGUUUAGCAAAUCGGUAUUGUAGAUCUGGAAAAGAAUGCGGCACUGCUUAUUUUACCAUCCUCAUUUUGCGAAAAUAGCAGGUUUCACUUCUGUCUAUUCAAUGAUUCAGCAAAGCUAAUAAAAGGAAUAAUUCUUUGUGGCACUUAAAGACCCCCAGUUGUGAAGACAUGGAACUGACUGUACAGAGGCACUAAAGAAUCUCUUAGUGUCACGGUCCUGUCUGCGUCCUAGUGUUCCCCUGCCUGUUUCUCCUGUUUUUACCCUAUGGACUACACCUCCCAUCAUGCUCCACGCUCCCUCACCUUUUCCUCGUCUCCCAUCAACCUCAAGCGAUACCCUCAUCACAGAGACUGUAUAUAUACUCUCCCUGUUCCUUUGUUCAUUGUCAAGUCUUGUCUAUAUAGUCAGCAAUUACGUUGUGUUCUCCAGUUCAUUAUUUUGUUGUAUUUGUUGUUGUGCUUUAAAAUAUAUACUGUAGUAUUGGAUAUCUCUCUGACUGUGGUCUGUGGCUGCAUACACACCCCCGUGACACUUAGCUGUCUAUUUUUUAUUCAGUGUGAUAUAUGCAAAACCCAUCAUUCGCACAAAAAUGUCAUAGAGCACUGUUUGUUUAAACUUAUUAGUGGCUACAAGACUGUCUAUCCGGCAAAUUAUACAACCAACUUAUACCAUGAUAUUUUAUGAGUUGUAUUGCCAUAAUGAACCUCCUAGUACUUGUGGUUAAUGGUUUAAUGUCAAUUUUUUUAAGACUUAAGCUUUAAUGCUUAAGGUUCCCCUAUGAUUACGAGCCAA